rnacentral:rRNA from 1 species
UGGGGAAUAUUGGACAAUGGGCGCAAGCCUGAUCCAGCCAUGCCGCGUGGAUGAAGAAGGCCCUAGGGUUGUAAAAUCCUUUCGCUAGGGAAGAUAAUGACGGUACCUAGACAAGAAGCCCCGGCUAAUUUCGUGCCAGCAGCCGCGGUAAUACGAAAGGGGCUAGCGUUGUUCGGAAUUACUGGGCGUAAAGCGCACGUAGGCGGCCUUGUAAGUUGGGGGUGAAAUCCCGGGGCUCAACCCCGGAACUGCCUUCAAAACUACAAAGCUUGAGGAUGUGAGAGGUUGGCGGAAUUCCGAGUGUAGAGGUGAAAUUCGUAGAUAUUCGGAAGAACACCAGUGGCGAAGGCGGCCAACUGGCACAUUUCUGACGCUGAGGUGCGAAAGCGUGGGGAGCAAACAGGAUUAGAUACCCGCGUAGUCC